rnacentral:rRNA from 1 species
UACGGAGGGUGCAAACGUUGCUCGGAAUCAUUGGGCGUAAAGCGCACGUAGGCGGUCCCGCAAGUCGGGUGUGAAAGCCCUCGGCUUAACCGAGGAAGUGCAUUCGAAACUACUGGACUUGAAUACUGGAGAGGAUCGCGGAAUUCCCGGUGUAGAGGUGAAAUUCGUAGAUAUCGGGAGGAACACCAGUGGCGAAGGCGGGUCUCUGGGCCGAUACUGACGCUGAGGAGCGAAAGCGUGGGGAGCGAACAGG